UACGAAGGGGGCUAGCGUUGCUCGGAAUCACUGGGCGUAAAGCGCACGUAGGCGGCUUUCUAAGUCAGGGGUGAAAUCCUGGAGCUCAACUCCGGAACUGCCUUUGAUACUGGCGACCUUGAGGCUGGAAGAGGUUAGUGGAAUUCCCAGUGUAGAGGUGAAAUUCGUAGAUAUUGGGAAGAACACCAGUGACGAAGGCGGCUAACUGGUCCAGAUCUGACGCUGAGGUGCGAAAGCGUGGGGAGCAAACAGG
rnacentral:rRNA from 1 species